CAGCAGCCGCGGAAUACAGAGGGUGCAAGCGUUAAUCGGAAUUACUGGGCGUAAAGCGCGCGUAGGUGGUUCGCCAAGUUGGAUGUGAAAUCCCCGGGCUCAACCUGGGAACUGCAUCCAAAACUGGCGAGCUAGAGUAUGGUAGAGGGUGGUGGAAUUUCCUGUGUAGCGGUGAAAUGCGUAGAUAUAGGAAGGAACAUCAGUGGCGAAGGCGACCACCUGGACUGAUACUGACACUGAGGUGCGAAAGCGUGGGGAGCAAACAGGAUUAGAUACCCCCGUAGUCCCUGUCUCUUAUACC
rnacentral:rRNA from 1 species